rnacentral:misc_RNA from 1 species
GAAAUGCGAUAAGUAAUGUGAAUUGCAGAAUUCAGUGAAUCAUCGAAUCUUUGAACGCACCUUGCGCCCCUUGGUAUUCCGAGGGGCACACCUGUUUGAGUGUCGUGAAAUUCUCAACUCAAUCCUUUUGUCAUGAAAGGGUUGGGCUUGGACUUGGAGGCCUGCUGGCUCUGCAAAGACCUGGCUCCUCUUGAAUGCAUGAGUGGAAACCUUUGCAAGGGGACCUUUGGUGUGAUAAUUGUCUACGCCGUUGGUGUACCUUGUGAGCUUAUGGGUAUCUGCUUCUAACUGUCUCUCGUAGACAAUUCAUCGAAACUUGACCUCAGAUCAGGUGGGACUACCCGCUGAACUUAA